rnacentral:hammerhead_ribozyme from 1 species
AUUCAGCUGACGAGUUUCAAAUAGAACGAAAUGAGAGUCCUGGAU